UGCAGGAUGUGAGUCGUCUGUGGGGACUGUAAUUUUGGUUCCUGUUAAAAAGCUGUUUGUUGCAAAUGGAAGCAGUGACUGCUGGAAACUUUUUAGUACAUUUAAGCCUUCUGUGCUAUUAAGAGAUAGAAAUUAUCUUGGCUGAAGGUGGGCUUGGAAGGCGAUAUUUGGAUUGGAUCGGCAAUGGCGUGACGUAUUUGAAUUCUGGGUGAAGCAACUUGGCUAUAUUUUGUUUUUGUAACUCUUUUGUUUAUUUCUUCAUAAACACUUCUUUUUGG